UCACACAGCUUCAGAUGGAGGCCCGUGGGCUACAGAGCCCACCCAGCUCCCUGCCACUGCGUGUGAGUGCAGUUUAGUAUGAGCCUGAGAGUGAGGCCUUUGAAUGAUGCCCUGGACAGAGCUGGGAACGUGAAGGUGAAUACUGUUGUGGGGAGAAUGCAUCCCUUUGCCUGGCUCUGAGCCAGGGCCAGCUUUGGAUCCUGCUAGCCCCAUGGAUAUAGAGUUGUUUGAAUCCGGGAUGCAGAACUAGUGGAUUUGGAGGGCUGGCUGUAUUAUCAUUACAGGGGAAAGCUAUCCCAAGGAAGUAAGAAUGGGGUAAGCCAGGCACGGUGGCUCAUGCCUGUAAUCUCAGCACUUUAGGAGACUGAGGUGGGUGGGUCGCU
rnacentral:lncRNA from 1 species